rnacentral:misc_RNA from 1 species
GACGGAGGGGGCUAGCGUUGUUCGGAAUCACUGGGCGUAAAGCGCGCGUAGGCGGCGGUGCAAGUUGGGCGUGAAAUCCCGGGGCUCAACCCCGGAAUUGCGCCCGAUACUGCGCCGCUUGAGUCCGAGAGAGGGUGGUGGAAUUCCCAGUGUAGAGGUGAAAUUCGUAGAUAUUGGGAAGAACACCAGUGGCGAAGGCGGCCACCUGGCUCGGUACUGACGCUGAGGCGCGAAAGCGUGGGGAGCAAACAGG